GGUGCUUUAUUGAGGGCCCGGGAGCCUGUGGACUAGCAUCCAAAGACAGAGCCCCACUCCACAGAAAAAUUACAGGGUUUUUAUAUGUUUUCUACAUGAUUUCUUCAUUAUAACAAUUUCUUACUUUCUUUCACUACUUGGUACAAUUAUCUCUUUGACCUUUAAGUUUUGCCAAAAGGUACAUUCCUUAGAUUAUCUCCUAGCUACACUGCUUACAUUGCAAUAUCUGCUAUACAGUUCAUUUGCAGGUUACAUGCGGCCUACCAAGCCUUAGCAUAACUACUACUAAUGUCAACUAAUGCUAACUAUUAACGUUUGCUACUAUCUUAAUAAUACAGUUUAUUGAAUCAAAUGGCAACAGGUCAAUCCUACAAUUGCCAAUACCCCAGGGAUGCCCUGGGGACACCCUGACAAAGGGCAGAGCCCGAGCAGUAACACUUGCUCCCAGCUCUACUCCUUUGGUACUCCAGAGUCUGAUCCCAGCUAUGCCCCAGCAGGAUUCAUUCCCCCUUUGGUUUGUUCCUCACAAGCAGCUGCUGAUUCCAGCACAGGUUGAGUCUGUGACAAGGACAGGAAUAUCCAUCCUCUGGAGAGCGGCUGGGCAUCCACAGGGGUUCUGGGGCACUGGAUUCUCCCUAGAGCAGCCACUGGCACACAAGGAUGAGCAGUUCAUUUCCCAGCAGAUCCCACUGGCACGCACCCCACUUCCUUCCCUUUAUCAGAGGAAUUUGGAAAUAGCCCUUUCCAGAAAGUCCUUUCUCGCUGAAUGGUGUUUUGAGUGUUAUAAAGUUUAUAAAAGCCCACAGAAGACGAGGUCCACGGAGAGAGGAGCUCUGCUCCAAAGGAAGAGUUUUGCUCUAAGGGAAAGGCCCCUCCAAGAGGACGUCUUUGCUCUCCCCUAGAGUGCCUCAGUGUCCCCCUGUGCUGGCUGGGGACAGUUUUGGUCUCAGAGUCCUGGCCAGUACUGAGGGGAAAAAAAAUCCCAAACCAAUUAAGGGAAAUAAAAUUAAGCAGAGAGUGACUUGGGAAAACCUGGCAGCGUCAGGCUGUUCCUCCCUGUACCCCUGGAGCUGUGCCAAGGAGUGGCUGGGGGGUGGUGGCAACAGUGACAGUGACAAGCUGGGCAGCUGCAGAGAGAGGAGCAGUGGGAUCGCCCUGACAGCGCCAUGAGGGGUUUCCAGAGGGGCUCCCAGCUCCUGGCAGCUGCACUCCGGAUCAGCCGGGUCCCCCAGGCACAGCUCGGCUCCCACCCCCCCGAGCACCCACUCUCCGCCGGUGAACAAGCCAUCGCCCUUGCCAUGAUGUUCUCGUCCUUCCUGCUGCCCACAGGCUGGGUCCUGGGCAACAUACACAACUACAAGAGCAAGCCAGAGUGAGGAGUGGCAGGAGCAGCCUGCUCCCUGCUGAGAGAAUCCCGAGGGAAGAGGCCUCGGGACAGACCCUCGCUGGGAUGGAACCCCCCGAGCCUGCUCAUUAAAAUCCACCUUUGCAUUCAACAA